CUGCUCUGUCACCUGCACACAGCUGGAAUGGAAGAGCGCAAUUCCUGAGUGGAUUGAUGCAUACCUGAGUGGACACCCAGAGGCAAGAUCUGUGUCCCCUGAGGCGGUCCCCUGCAUCCCCGCCAUCCAGCAGGGGGGUGAGUCACCUGUCUGAUUUACAGUGUGCUUCCAACCAAACCCAAUGAAAAUCAUCUAUGCGUAUCUUAAGCACCCACUAGGAAGGAUAUAAAGUUCAGAGGCUCUGAGCCAAGGGCUGUGGCUACCUGUGGUUGGAGAACUGAACCCAGAUAGCCACCUGCUAGGCACAUGGAAAGCAGCAAGCUCUUCACCCUGCUGAGACUGUGUGUGGGACUGGCCUCUGACACAGGGGCUUAAGGAGUGAGCCCCUUCGACGCAGAGCAGUUUUAAUAAAGGCUUCUGGUAUGAGAUUGCCUUUGCUUCCACAAUUGAUGACCAAGACUCAGAGAAAAACGAGAAGCUGGGAGCCUUGAAAGGCAUGCUGGAAAUGCACCUUCUGAAGGUGACCACAGCCUAUUACAAUAACAAACGCUGUGUGCUGGAGAAGGUGCCGGCCCUUGCAGAAGACGGUCCAGGGAAGUUCAGGGUCAGCAGAGGAGCAGGCAAGGAUGCUGUCCCAGGUUUGGUGGGUGUGGUGGCCUAUCUGGGGCAUUGUGGUUUACUCUCAGUGUGGACUUAUUACUGUUCUGGAUGUGGGGGUCCCCGUCUCACUGGAGGUGUUGUUUGGUGUAUCCUGACUGAGGUCUCAGUGCAUGGCUGCUCAGUCUCAAGAUGCCAUGCCCAGAUGUCAGGAGCCUGGGUGGAUGCCCCUGCAGCCUCUGUCCCUGGCUGGCUUCUGUCUUUGCCAGGACUUUGGCAGCUUCCUCUCUGAAAUCCUAGGUUUGAUUCAGCAUUCCUUUAUCUGGGUCAGUGGGGACCAUGCCCUCCUCUCAAGGCUGCUCAUGUGUUUCGGGUACAUGCUCGUGUGUGUAUAUGUGCCAGACAGAAGCUCAGCUAGGAACUGAGAGCAAUGGCUGAGAAGGUGAGAGGGUGUCUAGAAUUUUUCUCUGUUCCCAGUAAACAGAAACCUUUAUAUUGAGGCUACAGACUACAAGACCUUCUACAUCAUCUUUUCUGGCAUUCCAGCAAAAAAUCCGUACUAUAAGACCUUGAAACUGUACAGUAAGUCCAGCCUGGACUCAUCUGGGGUUGGGAUGGGUGUCACCCCUCCUAUUCCUCACCUCUUAUACGUCACCCCACCUGGGGUGGUGAUAGGAGAGCAUCCCAGGGCUGUGUCAGGGUUGGGGGGGAGAAAGUCUGUAACUAGAGAAAUCCAGUGCCAUACUCCCUGACAGCCCGGAGCUUGGACAACACUGAUGAAGCCCUGAAAAGGUUCAAGCAUGAGGUCUUGGCAAAAGGGUUUCCAGAAGAAAGCAUACACGUUUACAAGCAUGACUGUGAGUAUACCUGACUCGGGUCAGGGCAUACCAGGAAUGGGUGAAGACCUGGGUCUGCCCUGCCUCUUUCUUGUAUCUUCAUUUGGUCUUUUUGUCUACAGUGUCGUGUGUGCCCUCCGUGGUAUCAAUGGGUGAGUCUCUGGACUAAGCUGGGGCUGUGCUGGGCACCAAGGGUUUGGUGGCUCCUUUCCCAUGGCCUUCUGAGCACAUCGGUAAUGGUAGGGGCUUACACUGGCCUGGUAUGUGUGGGCAGCUGGGUAGUGUGUUUAUUCACACUUAUUGGAGCAAGCAGAUGCAUGUUGUGAAAUGCAGGCUGCCCAAAGAUCAAGAGGGCUUAGUUGUCCAAUCUGGGCUAGUUUGUCCUCUGGCCUCAGCAACUGGAGGAGGCCUCUGUGGUGGGGUCUGAUGCUCUCCUGACCCCAUCUCAUGCUGCCCUGUCCCGCAGGGAAGUGAUCCCAGGUGCUGAAGGAGGAACUGAUGUGAGGAGAAAGCCAUAACUCUGUGCUCCUGACCUCUCCUGCCCCUACCCAAGGUGUUCCUUGCAUCUGUGCCAAAUAAACCUCGCUGCC